rnacentral:rRNA from 1 species
UGGGAACGUACCCUUCGGUUCGGAAUAACUCAGGGAAACUUGAGCUAAUACCGGAUAAGCCCUUACGGGGAAAGAUUUAUCGCCAAAAGAUCGACCCGCGUCUGAUUAGCUAGUUGGUGGGUAAUGGCCCACCAGGGCUACGAUCAGUAGCUGGUCUGAGAGGAUGAUCAGCCACAUUGGGACUGAGACACGGCCCAGACUCCUACGGGAGGCAG